rnacentral:rRNA from 1 species
GCAGCAAUCCUUUAAAAAGUGCGUAAUAGCUUACUGGUCAAGUGACGUCGCGCCGAAAAUGAAUGGGACUAAGUAAAUUGCCGAAGCUGUAGGAUAAUUUUCAGUAGAAGAGCGUUUUGUAUAAGUGUGAAGCAGAUUUGUGAAAAUUUGUGGACUUUUCAAAAGUGAGAAUGUCGGCUUAAGUAACGAAAAUAUUGGUGGAAAUCCAAUACCCCGUAAACCUAAGGUUUCCUUUGCAAGGCUCGUCCACAAAGGGUUAGUCAGGUCCUAAGAUAUAGUUGAAAAGCUUUUUUGAUGGGAAACAGGUUAAUAUUCCUGUACUUUAUUUUGUUUAAUUAAGAGUGACGAAGAAGGCUAUAUUAUCCAAAUUCUGGUUUUUGGUCUAAUUUUUUUAAGCUUUGAAAGAUAUUAGAAAAAAUAUCUUGAGUUGAGAAUUAAAAUGCGACGCAAGUUACGGCUUGUUAAGUAAUUUAUGCCCUGCUUCCAAGAAAAACUUUUGUAAUGUGUAGCAAAAUGAAUCUGUACCGUAAACUGACACAGGUGGGUUGGUAGAAUAUACCUAGGGGACCGAGAUAACGCUUCUGAAGGAACUCGGCAAAAUAGCUCUGUAACUUCGGGAGAAAGAGUGCCUUUUUAGGCCGCAGUGAUUAGAUCUAUACGACUGUUUACCAAAAACACAGGUCUCUGUUAAGUCGAAAGACGUUAUAUAGGGGCUGACGCCUGCUCAGUGCCGGAAGGUUAAUAAAACUUGUUAGCUUUUGCGAAGCUUGUAAUUGAAGCCCCGGUGAACAGCGGUCGUAACUAUAACGAUCCUAAGGUAGCGAAAUUCCUUGUCAGGUAAGUUCUGACCCGCACGAAAGGCGUAACGAUAUAGAUACUGUCUCCAGAAGCGACUCGGUGAAAUAGAAUUGACUGUGAAGAUGCGGUCUACUUACACUUGGACAGAAAGACCCUAUGAAGCUUUACUGUAAAUUGAUAUUGUUUUUGGUUUCCCUUUGCGCAGUAUAGGUGGGAGGCUUUGAUCUAGUCUUUUGGGAUUUAGUGAGCCAUAAUAUGAGAUACCACUCUUAGGGAAUUUGAAAUCUAAUGGUAUAUUUUUACUUGAAAGUGUCAGUUGGGCAGUUUUACUGGGGCGGUAGCCUCCUAAAAGGUAACGGAGGCUCACAAAGGUUUUCUCAGUCUAGAUGGAAAUUAGAUGUAGAGUGCAAAGAUAGAAGAAAGCUUGACUGUGAGACAUAUAAGUCAAGCAGGGACGAAAGUCGGUCUUAGUGAUCCAACAGUGCUGUGUGGAAAGGCUGUUGCAAAAAGAUAAAAGUUACUCUAGGGAUAACAGGCUGAUCUCCCCCAAGAGUUCACAUCGACGGGGAGGUUUGGCACCUCGAUGUCGGCUCAUCGCAACCUGGGGCAGUAGUAUGUCCCAAGGGUUGGGCUGUUCGCCCAUUAAAGCGGUACGUGAGUUGGGUUCAGAACGUCGAGAGACAGUUCGGUCCAUAUCCGGUGUAAGCGUUAGAGCAUUGAAAAUAUCAUUCUCUAGUUCGAGAGGACCGGGAAAGAUGCACCUCUGGUGUACCAGUUUUUG